rnacentral:rRNA from 1 species
UACGUGAAACCGUUUAAGGGUAAACCUGAGAAAUCCGAAAGUUCGAACGAGGAGAUUCAGUGUGUCUCGUUGGGUGCGAGUAGCGCUCGGUAGACAGCGGUCGUUCGCGGCCGUUGCUCCUUGUGUUGCCGUUGCUUGGCGAACGCAUGCACUUCUCCUCCAGUAGGACGUCGCGACCCGUUGGGUGUCGGUCCGAGGCCCGCAGUGGAGCCCGUUCGUCGGUUUCGGCCGUUCGUUCGGACCUGUGGCGUCCGUCCGGCUGCUCGACGGUAGACUAAAGGCGCGGAGCCGCGACUAGCUCGCGUUCGGCCCGAUGCAAGCGCGGCCGGUUACCUGAUCGUCGGACUUGUGCCGAUCUCGGGGCCGGUCGACUGUUGGUGUCGGUGUUCCCGGACAGACUCUGCACACGCCUGUCUGCGGCGCUAUAGCUUUGGAUAAUUUCAGGGCCCGUCUUGAAACACGGACCAAGGAGUCUAGCAUGUGCGCGAGUCACUGGGACUAUCGAAUCCUAAAGGCGUAAUGAAAGUGAAGGCCGAGCCUGCUCUGUCGAGGGAAGAUGGGUGACUUAACCGUUGCCUCGCAUUCCCGGGGCGUCUCAUUCUCAUUGCGAGUAGAGGCGCACCUAGAGCGUACAUGCUGGGACCCGAAAGAUGGUGAACUAUGCCUGGUCAGGACGAAGUC